AUGCCGGUGGCGCAGGACCCCGUCGGCGCGGCCGCAGGCGCGGAGACCGCCUCCUCCCGCAGGAACCGCCGCCGCAACAAGAAGUCCUCCGGCGCCGCCAACGCCAACGCCAACGCCAACGCCAACGCGGCCCCCGUGGUCGCCGUCCCGGUGCCGGUGCCGGCGCCGCCCACGCCGAUGCAGCGCCUCUUCGACACCAGCCGCGAGGUCUUCGCCGGCUCCGCCCCCGGCUUCGUCCCGCCGCCCGACGCCGUCGCCCGCCUCGCCGCAAUCCUCAAUAAUCUGAAUCUGCAAGAUGUUGGCAUAGACACAAGCAUGACGUGCUUCAAGCGCAGCGACUCGAGGGCGCCUCCUGCAGUCACCUAUCUGCAUUUCUACGACUGCCCCAAGUUCUCGUUUGGUAUCUUCUGUUUGCCCAAGCAUGCCGUCAUUCCCCUGCACAACCAUCCCGGGAUGACGGUCUUCAGCAAGAUGCUCUUUGGCUCGAUGCACCUCAAGUCGUAUGACUGGGCCAGAAGCAUCUCGGAGGCCGGCACUACUGCGCUCACCACCUCAGACGGGGCUCGUCUCGCAAAGAUCAACACAAACAAUGUUGUUGACGCCUCAGCGGAGACCAUCGUUCUGUACCCGGAGAAUGGAGGCAACCUGCACUGCUUCACCGCGCUGACCCCUUGCGCUGUUCUCGACGUCAUGGGACCCCCUUACAACAGCGCUGCUGGUAGGGACUGCGCGUACUACAGCGAGUCCCCGUUUGCAAACACAGCCGGUGUGGCUGACGUGCGGUACUCCUGGCUGAAGGAGAUCCCCAACAACUUCCGGAUGAAGGGCGUAACGAUGCCGCGGGACUUCGUCGUCUAG
rnacentral:rRNA from 1 species